UGAGUGAUAUCAUUGCUGGUAUUGAAAA
rnacentral:piRNA from 1 species